GUGGCGUUGCCCAGACAACUAGGAUGUUGGCUUAGAAGCAGCCAUCAUUUAAAGAGUGCGUAAUAGCUCACUAGUCGAGUGACACUGCGCCGAAAAUGUACCGGGGCUAAACAUAUUACCGAAGCUGUGGAUUGUCCUUUGGACAAUGGUAGGAGAGCGUUCUAAGGGCGUUGAAGCAUGAUCGUAAGGACAUGUGGAGCGCUUAGAAGUGAGAAUGCCGGUGUGAGUAGCGAAAGACGGGUGAGAAUCCCGUCCACCGAUUGACUAAGGUUUCCAGAGGAAGGCUCGUCCGCUCUGGGUUAGUCGGGUCCUAAGCUGAGGCCGACAGGCGUAGGCGAUGGAUAACAGGUUGAUAUUCCUGUACCACCUAUAAUCGU
rnacentral:rRNA from 1 species